AGCCCGACCUUGCAGCUGGGAGAGGAGCCCCAGCCCCAGGAGUCCAGGUGUUCCCAUUCUGUGAUCAGCACAGAACACACACACCUCACCAUGGACUUUGUGCUGGGCUGGGUUUUCCUGGUUGCUCUUUUAAAAGGUGUCCAGUGUGACGUGCAGCUGGUGGAGUCUGGGGGAGACCUGGUGAAGCCUGGGGGGUCCCUGAGACUCACCUGUGUGGCCUCUGGAUUCACCUUCAGUAGCUACUACAUGAACUGGGUCCGCCAGGCUCCAGGGAAGGGGUUGCAGUGGGUCGCAUAUAUUAAUACUGAUGAAAGUAGCACAUACUACGCAGACUCCGUGAAGGGCCGAUUCACCAUCUCCAGUGACAACGCCAAGAACACGCUGUAUCUGCAGAUGAACAGCCUGAAGACCGAGGACACGGCCACAUAUUACUGUACGAGAAAGCAGGCUACCGAUUACUACGGUAUCGAUCUCUGGGGCCAUGGAACCAUAGUCACAGUGUCCUCAGCCUCCAGAGAAGCGCUGCACAUGUUCCCCUUGGUCUCGGGGUGUCAAGCCCCGAAAGAAGGCGACCCCAUAGUCCUGGCCUGCUUGGCAAGAGGAUACUCCCGAGAGUCAGUGCAGGUGACCUCGGUUUCGGGGAAGCAGGACCAGGCCAAAAAGACCAAUCUCUUCAUGCCGAACGCACAAGACAACAUUGAGCUGUCCUUCCUGACUGCCCAGUGGAAGCCAGACCCCCACCAGUGCAGCACCGCCAGCGGCAAGCUGCAGAAGGCCUUCCGGUGGCCAGCAUCUUGGGAAACUAAGACCCCCCUGUCGACUCUUGGGCCAACCCCACCAGAGGACUCCACCACAGUGCCCAGCACUGCCAGGGUCUCAGUGCCUUCCACCAGCCACACCCAGGAGCAAACCAGAGAGCCGGAAAGGACAGCAGACGCCAGUCUCAGAGAGUGUCGGAACCACACCAGCCCUCCCAGCCUCUACCUGCCACAGCCUCCCCUGCAGGGCCCAUGGCUCAAGGGACAGGCCACCUUCACCUGCCUGGCAGUGGGGGCUGGCCUUCAGGAGGCCCGCUUGUCCUGGGAGGUGGCCGGGGCGCCCCUGCACGCGGGUGUGGACAGUGGGCCGCUGGAGGAGAAUGCCAAUGGUUCCCAGAGCCUGAGAAGCCGCCUGGACUUGCCCGUGGCCUCCUGGGCCUCAGGGGCCAACAUCACCUGCACGCUGAGCGGCCCGGACGUGGCUUCCCAAGUGGUGUCCGCAGCUCCCAAGGAACACGCUGCCUCUGCGCCCAGCAGCCUCACGGUCCACGUCCUGACUGUGUCCAGAGCAGCCUCCUGGCUCCUGUGCAAGGUGUCCGGCUUCUCGCCCCCAGACGUCCUCCUCACCUGGCUAAGGGACCAGGUCCAGGUAGACUCUGCUUCCUUUGCCACUGCACCCCCCUCAGCCGAGCUGGGGAGCAGCACCUUCGAGACCUGGAGCGUCCUGCACAUCCGCACGGCCCAGGUCCCUCGCCCGGACACCUACACGUGUGUGGUCCGGCACGAGGCCUCCCGAAGGUUGCUCAACGCCAGCUGGAGCCCAGACACGGCCAGUCUGGACAUGACCCCCCCAGCCCCCCAGAGCCAUGACGAGAGCGGCGGCGGCUCCACGGACCUGGAAGACACCGGCAGACUGUGGCCCACGUUCGCGGCCCUCUUCCUUCUCACUCUGCUCUACAGCGGCUUCGUCACCUUCAUCAAACAGGCGGGGGCAGUGCGCGCAGUCGUGCCUGAAGGGGCGCAUGGGAGACCCUGGUGCUGCCCAGCACACAGUCACCGUUGGAAGCCUGCCGUCGCCCAGGGUCCCCAGCUGCAGAAGAGGAAGUGGUCACGGGGGCAGGUGAGCACAGUGGACGCCACCCGCUGGCCAGGGGCAAGAGUGAAGGCAGCCACCAUCAAGCCCAGCCGGUCCACGGCCCCCCCCCGCCCCCAAUGCCACAACGCUGGUGUCCCCCUGUCACUGCUCGUCCCUCUCACCACCUCCGUCCUCACCCACCCUCAUCCAUCCACGGCUUCAGCUCAUGCUCAUCCCUGCACGUGGCCAGUGGAGGCUGACCCACACCUGACACCUGACAUGCCACGACCGGACGCGGGGCUGUGGUCAGACGACCCCCAUGGCCUCUGCAUGUGACCUCUGGGGCAAAGGCACUUUGCAGCUGCCUCAAGGUCAGGGUACAAGAAGAGAGGUGGUCUCGGCUGGUGGGGGUCACUGUUGUCACAGAGCCACAGGAGAAGGCAGCGUGACACCAGAGCAAGGUGCCCGGGGUGGCCACAAGCCCAGGUGCUGCUCCUGGAGCAGGGAAACCCGGGGACAGGCUGUGUCCCAGAGUCUGCCCACGCCCGCCUGUGGCCCAGGGGCUGGGGGCAGACUUCUUGGCUCCAGACCCUGAGGAGACAAAGGUCUGUGGGAUUUGCUGUGGCAGCCACAGGAAACUCACACCCUGGGUCCCCAUGUCACCGCUGCUGGCCGAGGGGGCCCCAUCUAGGGUCUCAGGCCAAACUCUGAGAACAGAUCCUGUUCUCUCUCUGGGCCCACCUGCUGCCCCAGCCUUGUGGCACCCACUCAGGAGGCUGCCCACGGUUGUGUCCCGGAGGGCUCACCCUGCCCACCCUGCCCUCGGCGACCUAUCAGUGGCAAGGGCAGCCCUGUGUCCAGAGCUCACAGGAGGCCUCAGUGCCCCCACAGCUCGUCCGCACACGGGUCCCGUAGUGGCCAUGCCCUUGCCCUGUGCCGCUCCCCCACUGCGUUUUCUUCUCUGCCCCUCUGGCACACUCUGGGGCUCCCUCUCUCAUUAUAUUGGUUGGUUAUUUCUUUCCCAUCACCCAGAAAGUUAAUGCCAAGAGCACAGUGUUUUCUGUGGCUCCCUGAUGACGCCCAACACAGAAAGAAGAGCCCAGCACAUGGAGGUGCUCAGAAACACUUGCUCAGUGAACGCACGUCCCCCGCAACAUGGACCCUGAGUCACAAGAGCACUUUGUCCCCCGGAUGUGUCCUCCUGCACACGGCACACAUUUACAAUACACUGCGGUCCCUGUAUUCCCAGUUAGCUCCUUCGGAAGUCUACCCUCCCCCAGGCUGCCACCUCAGUAAAUGACCGCCUGCCGAGUGGCCCCCGAAAGACACCCCGAAGUCAUCGCGACCUGCCUCCCACACACUCCAAGCCACGUCACACCCACCCAGAGCUCCCUGUGGUACAGCCCGCCUCCAGGCCUGCCCCCUCCCCGGCCCACAGCUGGUCUGGUCCCCUAAAGACCUGUGAGCCCGUAGCCCCGGCUCAAAGCCGCUGACGGUCUCCCUUUACAUCAGGAACAAGGCUCUUUCUGCCUAACCCAGCUGGACUGGCCAGGCCUCCCCAGCGCCAGCCACCUCGAGGCCAUCCGGGCCUGCUCCUCUGACUUCACGGCCCGAAACCAUCUGCCUGCCCCAGGGUCUGU